UUAAGAUUUUACCAACAAGAAGUCUUCAGAAGGGUUGUCUUUCAGAUAGUAGCACCCAGAGUUGGAAGAGGUGGUUUGGGCAAGGGGGAAGUCUCAAAGCCACACCUGGAAGCUCAUAGACCUUCCAGCCCACCCAUCCUUGCAGACACCUAGCUAAGGAGUUAGCCCACCUCUUUGGUAAGUGCCAUGUCCCUUUCACACCAUACACCCUCCCCUUCAGGAGGCCUUUGUCAGAGUGCUCAGCCCCCACCCAAAUGAGGAAGUGAAACUGGCUCCAAAGCAGAGCAAAGAGCAGCUGUGGAAGACUCAGAGGCCCUUUGGAAUUAUAGUGGGUGCUCCUGGCCCUGGGGCUUCACUUGCCUCCCCUUGAGCCCCUGAAACCUUCACAGCUUUCCAGAAGUGUCAACUAUUAGGCUGAACCAUAUGAAAUGACUGUUUCUGUAGGUCAAAAAGCAGGUUACUGAGGCAAAAGAAUUGUUCCCGGUUUGACAGAGGAGAAAACUACGGCUCAGAAUUUCUUUUGGAAUUGCUUCAGGGCUGCUAAAAGUCUUUUCGGCCUCCUGCGACUCAGCCUUCUAAGCAAUAAAAUGGCAAUAAGAGCCAUAACGCACGGGAAAGUCACGCCUGAGCUGUCAGGACACAGUUCCGGCUUCUGCAGGAGAAAGCACCGCCCGGAGGGGGAGGGAGCCCCACCCCCACCCACCACGUGGAGCGCAGCCCCGCCCGCACCGAGG